UACGUAGGGGGCAAGCGUUGUCCGGAUUUAUUGGGCGUAAAGAGCGUGUAGGCGGCCAGGUAGGUCCGUUGUGAAAACUGGAGGCUUAACCUCCAGCUGUCGAUGGAAACCAUCUGGCUAGAGUCCGGAAGAGGAGAGUGGAAUUCCUGGUGUAGCGGUGAAAUGCGCAGAUAUCAGGAAGAACACCCGUGGCGAAGGCGCUCUACUGGGCCGUAACUGACACUGAGAGACGACAGCUAGGGGAGCGAAUGGG
rnacentral:rRNA from 1 species